CCGACGAAUUCAGUGUGGUGAAGACGCAUUGAGCGGACGAGCAUAGAAACCUGAAGAUUGUCAAAACAAAGGUGUAAAAUCAUCAACAGUGGAUGGCACUCAUCAGUCCUCAAAGCGGAUGUUGGCGGGCAGUCACAGUG